GUAGUUGUGGCCGAGUGGUUAAGGCGAUGGAAUAGAAAUCCAUUGGGGUUUCCUCACGCAGGUUUGAAUCCUGUCGACUAUG